rnacentral:rRNA from 1 species
UACGAAGGGGGCUAGCGUUGUUCGGAUUUACUGGGCGUAAAGCGCACGUAGGCGGAUCGAUCAGUCAGGGGUGAAAUCCCAGAGCUCAACUCUGGAACUGCCUUUGAUACUGUCGAUCUGGAGUAUGGAAGAGGUGAGUGGAAUUCCGAGUGUAGAGGUGAAAUUCGUAGAUAUUCGGAAGAACACCAGUGGCGAAGGCGGCUCACUGGUCCGGUACUGACGCUGAUGUGCGAAAGCGUGGGGAGCAAACAGG